ensembl:processed_transcript Gas5 growth arrest specific 5
GCAGAGCCCCGCGGCAAGGGAGUUGCGGGCGCACAGGAAUGGCAAUGUGGACCUCUGUGAUGGGACAUCUUGUGGGAUCUCACAGCCAGUUCUGUGGCAAAGGAGGAUGAAGGCUUACGAGGACUCGUCAGGAAGCUGGAUAACAGAACAAGUGCAAUGUGCUAGAAGACCAGAAAAUGAAAUGGUGGAGUUUGAGGCUGGAUAGACAGUUUGAAAGGUAAGUAUUGAAAAACACUUGAAUUUGGGUCAGUACAAAGGGACAUGCAGAGACUUUGAAUCAUCAAAACUCCAGCAUGCAUUGUCCUACGGAUGUUUAGAUAGGUGUGUUUUGGAUAACACACGGGGUUCUUGUAAUGAUGUUGAUCAAAUGUCUGAGCUGAAAAUAACUUGUAGACAAUUUUUAACACUGAAGAACCCUGUGGCAGGCAACUAAGAAUAGUCGAAUGAUGUUUAGCAUAUUUGUAAGAGGUAUUUUCUUUUAAUUCUAGUUAACUGUGGUUGCAUGCUUGUUCAUUUGGCUGGCUUGCUUGGGUAAGAAGCCAUUGGGGGCCUUGAAUUCCCUCCAGUCAUUUGCAGUAUUUACUGCAUAACAUUUAGCUUUUGAACAUGCAUGUGCUACCAUCAGUACUAAAUGGUGCCUUAAAUUUUUUUCAGGUACAAAUGAUGGUUUGAAUAAAGGUAUAACGCACGGGUCGCCUCAAGUGAAGG